rnacentral:rRNA from 1 species
ACGGUCGCAAGAUUAAAACUCAAAUGAAUUGACGGGGGCCCGCACAAGCGGUGGAGCAUGUGGUUUAAUUCGAUGCAACGCGAAGAACCUUACCUACUCUUGACAUCCAGAGAAGCCAGCGGAGACGCAGGUGUGCCUUCGGGAACUCUGAGACAGGUGCUGCAUGGCUGUCGUCAGCUCGUGUUGUGAAAUGUUGGGUUAAGUCCCGCAACGAGCGCAACCCUUAUCCUUGUUUGCCAGCGAGUAAUGUCGGGAACUCCAGGGAGACUGCCGGUGAUAAACCGGAGGAAGGUGGGGACGACGUCAAGUCAUCAUGGCCCUUACGAGUAGGGCUACACACGUGCUACAAUGGCGCAUACAGAGGGCAGCAAGCUAGCGAUAGUGAGCGAAUCCCAAAAAGUGCGUCGUAGUCCGGAUUGGAGUCUGCAACUCGACUCCAUGAAGUCGGAAUCGCUAGUAAUCG